GACCGAGUAAGCUAACUCAACAAGCUAGUGGGCUCAUAACCCAAAAAUGAUAUUCUAUUCCUCUGUCA
rnacentral:tRNA from 1 species